rnacentral:RNase_P_RNA from 1 species
CGGGUCGGACAGCCGCGGACGCACGCCGAAAGGCGGCGGAUGAGGAAAGUCCGGGCUCCGCAGGGCAAGGAUAACGGGUAACGCCCGCCGAGAGUGAUCUCAGGACAAGUGCAACAGAGAGAUACCGCCCCGCCGAUUCCCGUGAAUCGACGAGGUAAGGGUGAAAAGGUGGGGUAAGAGCCCACCCGGCUUAUGGAGACAUAAGUUUUACGAUGUAAACUCUAUCCGGAGCAACGCCGUGGAGGAACAGAUGGUCUGCCCGACCGUUCCGAGGAGGCGGCUGGAUCCCGGGAGCAAUCCCGGGACUAGAUAGAUGGCUGUCAAGACAGAACCCGGCUUACAGACCCG